rnacentral:lncRNA from 15 species
AGGAAGGACUGGUGCUAAUGUGCUGAACGCUGCGUUUCAUGGAGGGUUAUUAUGUUUACAGUGGAAAAGUGAGUCAUGUUUUGUCUGGAGUGCCUGCUAGUCUCGCUCCAAGUGAUGACAGUCAGGAUGGUGGGGCUGCACAGCUCUAAUAGUCAGCUAAUGAAAGCCUUAUGAAGUGCUUUCAAGGUGAAUUUGGUGGAGUGACGGCAGAGCCUGUGGGAGUGCGGUGUGAUACUUCCCAGAAGGCCCAGUGACAGGAAAACGCUCACAAUCAGGAGAGCUGUUACCUAAUAUGAGCCGGCCAGAGAGCACACAGUGGCGGAAGAAGAGAGGAGAGGGAUGUGUUGCAGGAAGUGCAUCUGUUCUGUAGAGACCACGAUGGAUGAUUCUCACAAGUAUUUUGGUUUAGUUCCCGUCUUCAUCUGUUUGUCAACCUGAACCGAAACCAAACUGGAGCUCCAUGCACAGCUGGUGAAAGGAGAGUUUCAGGAUUACCUGCCUGUCGCGUCACAUUACCAAGCCUGCCAUCCAGCUCUCACCCCCGGAUUCCCUUUGCCAAGCCUGCACCUAAGCUUCCAGCCAGCCACCAUCUCACCAUUUCACCAUUCCUGCCGGCAAUAACUCCGAGGAGUGACGAGGAGUUCCAGGAACAGAACUGCUGGAAAAUGGAGAAUAAUGUUGUUUGCAUUGGAACUGAUGGCUGUAAACUCUUUCACUGUUCAUUUAUUGGAUCCUACUUUGGAAAUUGGCCAUUUUUGCAUUGAGAAGCACAGAGGCCAGUUGGGAUGUCGUACCUUCUGCAAUGUGCUUGGACCCCUAUUUGUUUCCUUUCUCCCCACUUAGCCAGCGCUGAGGAUUGAUCCGCUGACACUCAGCUGUAAAGUGCUGAAGUCCACCAAUCAAUUUACACUCAUGUUAUGCCUCAUGAGGCUAGAAAUGGACUGAGGCAGCUUCUCAACAAAGUGAUGUAAUAACUCUCACUCUAUCUAAUUACACUUAAAACUUGGGUUUUAUUUUUGUAGCUCUGGCUGUUUGUUCUAUCACUUGUGAUUAUCCUCAGUAAAGUAAUCUGAGGAUGCAGUGAGAUCAUUAAAAGUAGGUCCAAUUGGGCAAAUCAAGAGAAGUCAGACAAGCCCCCAAGAUGACCAACCUUAUUAGGUAGAGAAACAAAGGCAAAUGUAGAAAGUAUGACCCAAAAUGUCCAUUGUAAACAUCACCAACAUGUUCUCACUCCCAACGUGUCAGUCUUGCCCUCGAGGGACAAUAAAGACCUGAAUUGAAACACCGCUGCUUGGUCAGUGGCCCUCCACUUCCAAAAUAGAUGCUCAUGCAUACACGCAGGGCUCUGCAGUCACGUUAGUAACAAUAAACAUAUAUUGUCCGGUUACACUUUUAAAAAAAAGCUUGCAUAGUUAACGUUGGAAAAUGGUCACUGUUUGAUUAGGUUUAGGCCAUAGACUGUAUAGAUAAAAAUGGUGACAGCACCCACCAAUAAUGCAAAGCAGGCAUCCCUUUAAUUACACAUAACUUUAAAUCCUAUUAUAAUUUUAACAGGUGAGUUAUAGAAAAAUUCUCCUGCUGUACAGUUUAUUUCUGCUGUAAAGUUGAGUACUUUAAUAUGGGGCCUUAUGGAAAUACACAUUUGAAGCCAGCCUCAAGUGGCCAUUCAAGGAACUGCAGUUUUUGUUACUUUCGUGUUGACCUCAUUUGCCACCCCACCACCUUCAUAUUUAGACUUUCUCGCUCUUUAUAAUACGUCCCCUGACUUUGACGGGGGGUGCAUUCAGCAGUGACCCAAUAGGAUACUUAUCAUAUUUUGAAGCAGUGGGCCACUUACAAAUCGGCAGCGUUUUUGACAACUUGGGAGGUUACAAAAGUGUCCUGAGAUAACUUCUGUUAUGAAUUGGCGCUAUACAAAUAAAAUUGAAUUGAAUUGAAUUACAGACCUACAUGCUGCUUGAACUUUGACGUGCUAUACUUACUGUAGCCGUGUGCAAUUUGUAUGCAAUAAUGGAUUGAUCGUGACAUUUCAGGUGUUCUGUUUCAGAUUGACCUCCAAAUAAAGUUGUUUUUUUAAUCUGGAU